UGUUACUGUGUCUGUAGCUGUGCUCCUGCUGUUUCUGAUAGCACUGAUCCUCAUCUACAAACGAAAUGGUGCAGCAGGACGUCAUGUCAAAGAGGACUGUAUCUGUGACGAGAGACAGGAGAACCUCCAGAACCCAGAAAAUGCAGUGAACUCGAUUUCCAUCAGUGCCAAUAAUCCCAUAA